rnacentral:rRNA from 1 species
AAAUAGAUACCCCAGGUAGUCCACGCCGUAAACGAUGAGUGCUAAGUGUUAGAGGGUUUCCGCCCUUUAGUGCUGAAGUUAACGCAUUAAGCACUCCGCCUGGGGAGUACGGCCGCAAGGCUGAAACUCAAAGGAAUUGACGGGGGCCCGCACAAGCGGUGGAGCAUGUGGUUUAAUUCGAAGCAACGCGAAGAACCUUACCAGGUCUUGACAUCCUCUGACAACCCUAGAGAUAGGGCUUCUCCUUCGGGAGCAGAGUGACAGGUGGUGCAUGGUUGUCGUCAGCUCGUGUCGUGAGAUGUUGGGUUAAGUCCCGCAACGAGCGCAACCCUUGAUCUUAGUUGCCAUCAUUAAGUUGGGCACUCUAAGGUGACUGCCGGUGACAAACCGGAGGAAGGUGGGGAUGACGUCAAAUCAUCAUGCCCCUUAUGACCUGGGCUACACACGUGCUACAAUGGACGGUACAAAGAGCUGCAAGACCGCGAGGUGGAGCUAAUCUCAUAAAACCGUUCUCAGUUCGGA